UGACAUCACACCCACUUAAUCCAGAAGCCAAGUGCCCUGUGUGGUGGUUUCAGUGAGGAUGGACCUGACAGGACUGCAUGAGUUGGUGGAACUGUUUGGGAAGGAUUAGGAGGUGGAUCGAGACGGGGACUCUCAGCCACUGCUCCAGUGCCACGUCUGUCAGCUGUUACCCUCUCUGCCAUCAUGGUCAUGGCUCUAUCCCUUGGAAACCAUGAACCCCAUAUAAUAGACUCUUUCUUCUAUAAAUAGCGUUAAUCACGGUGUCUUAUUACAGCAACAGAAAAGUAACCUCGACUCUGUGAACAAGACUUUGGACAGGAUGCCACUGGGACGCUUCUCUGAUGUACCAUACUGCAUGAGCCGGAAAGAUCCAAAAGGUCCGUCACCGCCAUUGCCUCCUCUUCUCAAGUCCAUAACUCUUCCUGCAGAAGAAUCUAGGCCUGACUUCCAGAUACCGCCCAGCAGCCCUGACGGUCUCCAACCCCAGGAGUCCACAGCCGGAUGUGCUGCCGUCGAGACAGAGAGACUCACAUUCUUCCAGAUAACGUGAUACUUUGAACACUUGUUUCUAUCACACUCCGGUGUGGCAGCUAUGAACUGCAAAGUCAGUCACUGUUGGAACCCAGCCCCCAUGGGGUCUCUAAGAGUUGUUUUCCAGCAUAACUACAGGUACCUCACCACACUAGGAUCAGAAUCCUGUUUUGAACCCUUUGACCUUCGUUUUUUGUAAGUUUGUAUAUAAGGC
rnacentral:lncRNA from 1 species